rnacentral:rRNA from 1 species
AGAACGAACGCUGGCGGCAUGCCUAACACAUGCAAGUCGAACGAGACCUUCGGGUCUAGUGGCGCACGGGUGCGUAACGCGUGGGAAUCUGCCCUUGGGUUCGGGAUAACAGUUGGAAACGACUGCUAAUACCGGAUGAUGUCUUCGGACCAAAGAUUUAUCGCCCAAGGAUGAGCCCGCGUAGGAUUAGCUAGUUGGUGAGGUAAGAGCUCACCAAGGCGACGAUCCUUAGCUGGUCUGAGAGGAUGAUCAGCCACACUGGGACUGAGGCACGGCCCAGACUCCUACGGGAGGCAGCAGUGGGGAAUAUUGGACAAUGGGCGAAAGCCUGAUCCAGCAAUGCCGCGUGAGUGAUGAAGGCCUUAGGGUUGUAAAGCUACGUUUACCGGGAUGAUAUGACAGUACCGGAGAAUACGCCCGACUAACUCCGUG